UGCCAUGUCCCUGAUUGUUUCUUCCUCUGUCUAAUCACCUGCACCAGCCCUGUGUAUUUAAACCCUGUUUGUGUAUUUCCCCUUUGUCAGUUUGUCUUGUUUGAUCAUUGUAGAUCACGGGUGUGAGUCGGUCGCUUGUAUUUUUCCUGCGUGGAAUAUUUUGUCUCGUGAGCAAUAAAGUUGCCUUUUUCCCCAAGUUGUCGGUGUUUUGGUCCUGUUCUUGCGGCUACUUCAGUGACAUACAGAAUUAAAAUCAUCGACUUCGGCCUGGCCCAUGAGGUGUCCUCUGCAACCCGGGGCGCCUACAUUCAGACCCGUCCGUACAGGUCUCCAGAGAUUAUUUUGGUCUGUGGGCUACUGCUUACCUCUACCUCGGAUUCUUCCUCUACCCCGGCACGAGUGAAUAUGACAUGAUGAGGUACAUAGUGCAGACUCAGGGUCAGCCACCAGACACCCUGCUCACACUCUGACACAAAACUGGCUUUUUUUCCCAACAAGACGGCAACUCCACAAACAGUUCCUGGGAACCCAAGACACCAGAACAGUUCUAUCUCGAGACUAGGAAUCAGUCGAUGGAGACCAGGUGUGGGGAAUUCAGCUCGCUGUAUGAUCUCUUGCAUAUCCAGCUCAUAAGGAGAAAAAAGACUGCUGAUAAAGUUUCAGAAUCGAAUGACAGGCUUCUCUUUGGGGACAUCCUCAGAGGGAUGCUUGAGCUCGAUGCUGCAAAGAGACUCACACCCCGUCAGGUGCUCCAGCAUCAAUUCACCACAUGGUCAGCAGAUACCAUCUCAG